rnacentral:rRNA from 1 species
UGCGCAGGCGUACUAUUAAGUCAGUGGUGAAAUCUCUCGGCUCAACCGAGAAACUGCCAUUGAAACUGAUAGCCUUGAGUGUAGUUGUAGUAGGCGGAAUAUAGCAUGUAGCGGUGAAAUGCUUAGAUAUGCUAUAGAACACCGAUCGCGAAGGCAGCUUACUAAACUAUUACUGACGCUCAUGCACGAAAGCGUGGGGAGCGAACAGGAUUAGAUACCCUGGUAGUCC